GGGACUUCCUCCUGAAACUGUACUAUGUUAAUGCUUGUCUUUAUGGUGUUCUCCAAGUCUUCAGAAAGUGACGCAUUCUUGGAAGUUUUGAAUGGAUUAAGCAGAAAUGGAUGAGAGGAAUGAAUAUUUUCAAGUCCUACAGUUCACAGAAUUUCAGAGAUACUGAACAAGCUUAGCAGUAAGGAAUGCAUAGAGGGAAGAGGUGCUGAGGCAAAGUUCAGUCUGCUAACCACAGCUUUCAGUGGUGGCAAAUGGAGAAUUCACCAUUGGUAUGGUGAUGCAUGUGGCUCAGGUGAGGCAGAUCUUGUGACUGGGAAUAAUUUGAAGCAAAUCAUCAGAUUUCAGUUUUAUUCUUAAUUCGUGUUUGUUUUGCAGUUCCCAGUGCAGUUUGGCAAACCAGCACUAGGUCAGGCCUCCCAGGGCAGCAUCAGUACAAUGAUCUGCACAGCUCUACUAAUUCCUCAUAACCAUGAGGUGUUUGAUGUAGGUUGCUCUGAAAGUAAUGCCUCCUAUUUAUUUCCGUGGAAACUACAAAGAGUAUAGUAACACUAUUUGAUAGAGCAAAUUCUCAGCUACAGAACUUUAUUUUUCAACAGUCAGCAGCAUUAGCUGUUUAUAUUCAUUGGCCAUGAACAAGACUCUGCAUGCUGUGCUUGUAAAAAUCUGAAGCAGUGGAGGUGUCCCACAGUCACCACUGCUGAAACACAGCAUCCACUGCCUCACCGUCCUCACAUCUGCUGUUUGAUCUCCAUGAACUUUCAGCAAGUGUCGACGAAUGUCAGAGGGUGCUAUUGUUUCCACAUGGAGGAAUUCAAUGACAGACCUUUGCUU
rnacentral:lncRNA from 1 species